ensembl:miRNA
CCCCGCCCAAGUUCACAAUCAACAUUCAUUGUUGUUGGUGGGUUGUGAGGACACAGGCCAGACCCACCGGCAGAUGGAUGCCACUGUGACUGGGCCACACAGCCUGGGGGGAAGGGGA